AAAAAUAGUAAUAAUUCAAACUAGCCUUAGUAAGCAUGUUAUCUUAAAGUGUUUCAUAAAACGUAAUCAUUAAAUCAUGUUUUUCAUGUAUACAUUUCUACUAUUAAAACAUGCAUUUUUAGAAGGGGUCCACUCACCGUACACCGAUGGUGCAAAGCUGUACCAAAAAGGUAUAGCGGAAUCACCGCUAAUAAUUGCACAUAUUCACAUAAAGGAGUACCUUUAGUCAAACUAUAUUUAAACGAUUGAAUUUGAGAAAACGGACUUCAAAAACGGGUCCAGGACGUCGAAAUUAGCUUAUGAAAGGUCCUGGACAAAACCCUGAAAAGUCAAUUAAAAAAUCAACGUUGAUUGUUGACCGGUCAACUUCAAAGUCAACUCUGACAGUUGACCGAGUCAACGUUGACCGUUGACCAAGUCAACAGUCAAGGUCAACUGGUCAAAUGUCAAAGUCAAAUUUGGGCUUAGAUUGGGUUGGGCUAAAAAGGCCUUAGGGGUUUUGGGUUUUAAACUAAGGGUUAAUGGGUUUGGAAACUCAUAUUGGCCCAAGGCCUAAUCUGCUUGGUUCUAUACACACACACACACGGGCCUAAUGCCCUAAAUAGAAAAUGGCCCAAGGCCUUAUUUCUAUAACAGAAACUAAAAAGGUUUUUAGGUUGGGCUAGAGGGCUACGGGCCCUAAUCCUAAUGGCCCGAAGGCCUUUUAGGUCCUAAACUAAUUAAUUAAAAACAAAAGAAAAACAAAUGGGUUAGGGGGAUUGGGCUAGGCUCACCACACGGGCCUAAGGCCCGCUUGACUCAGAAACGGCUUGGAGGGCCUGGUUUCGUCGGAGAACAACGGAGCUUCAACAGCUCCGGCCGACCACCACACGCAACCCUAGACCUCGAUCUAGGUAUCAAAACGAAGAGCAAGACAAAGGGAGUAACUAUAUACCUUCCUUUCGUCGUGGAACGGCCGGAGAUGGCCGGAAUCUCCCCUUACACCCUCAGGAUCGCCGGAGAUGGGUGUGCCUACACCCGAGGUGAUUUCGUUCUAAAAACCUCCAAAAACACACAUAAAACUCAAUUAAAA
rnacentral:lncRNA from 1 species